AUUGAACGCUGGCGGCAGGCCUAACACAUGCAAGUCGAGCGGUAGAGAGGUGCUUGCAUCUCUUGAGAGCGGCGGACGGGUGAGUAAUGCCUAGGAAUCUGCCUAGUGGUGGGGGAUAACGUUCGGAAACGGACGCUAAUACCGCAUACGUCCUACGGGAGAAAGCGGGGGAUCUUCGGACCUCGCGCCAUUAGAUGAGCCUAGGUCGGAUUAGCUAGUUGGUGAGGUAAUGGCUCACCAAGGCGACGAUCCGUAACUGGUCUGAGAGGAUGAUCAGUCACACUGGAACUGAGACACGGUCCAGACUCCUACGGGAGGCAGCAGUGGGGAAUAUUGGACAAUGGGCGAAAGCCUGAUCCAGCCAUGCCGCGUGUGUGAAGAAGGUCUUCGGAUUGUAAAGCACUUUAAGUUGGGAGGAAGGCAGUAGUUAAUACCUUGCUGUUUUGACGUUACCAACAGAAUAAG
rnacentral:rRNA from 1 species